rnacentral:rRNA from 1 species
UACGAAGGGGGCUAGCGUUGCUCGGAAUUACUGGGCGUAAAGGGCGCGUAGGCGGCACUGUUAGUCAGGCGUGAAAGUCCUGGGCUCAACCUGGGAACUGCGCUUGAUACGGCAGAGCUAGAGGAUGGAAGAGGCUCGCGGAAUUCCCAGUGUAGAGGUGAAAUUCGUAGAUAUUGGGGAAGAACACCGGUGGCGAAGGCGGCGAGCUGGUCCAUUACUGACGCUGAGCGCGACAGCGUGGGGAGCAAACAGGAUUGAGAUACCCCGG